AAUUCGCCCUUUCCGGUUGAUCCUGCCGGACCCGACUGCUAUCGGAUUGAGAUUUAGCCAUGCGAGUUGAACGUCCCUUGAUUGCAGGGGGCGUAGCAUACGGCUCAGUAACACGUAGUCAACCUGCCCUGGAGACGCGGAUAACCCCGGGAAACUGGGACCAAUCCGUGAUAGGUCGCCCCAUCUGGAAGGAGGGGCGGCCCAAAGGGGAAUUGUGGGCUUCCACUUUUCUCGCUCUAGGAUGGGACUGCGGCCGAUCAGGCUGUUGGCGGGGUAAUGGCCCACCAAACCUGUAACCGGUACGGGCCUUGAGAGAGGUGGCCCGGAGAUGGACACUGAGACAAGGGUCCAGGUCCUACGGGGCGCAGCAGGCGCGAAACCUUCGCAAUGUGCGAAAGCAUGACGAGGUUAAUCCGAGUGGCUUCCGCUGAGGAAGUCUUUUGCCGACUGUAAAAAGGUCGGAGAAUAAGGGGAGGGCAAGUCUGGUGUCAGCCGCCGCGGUAAUACCAGCUCCUCGAGUGGUCGGGGCGAUUAUUGGGCCUAAAGCAUCCGUAGCCGGUUCCGUAGGUCUCCUGCAAAAUCCAGUCGCUCAACGAUUGGCCCGCAGGAGAUACCGCGGGACUAGGAGGCGGGAGAGGUGGACGGUACUCCACGUGUAGGGGUAAAAUCCUUUGAUCCGUGGAAGACCACCAGUGGCGAAGGCGGUCCACCAGAACGCGCUCGACGGUGAGGGAUGAAAGCUGGGGGAGCGAACCGGAUUAGAUACCCGGGUAGUCCCAGCCGUAAACGAUGCUACCUAGAUGAUCCGAUCGUAAAUCAUGAUCGGAGUGUCGCAGGGAAGCCGUUAAGCUAGCCGCCUGGGGAGUCCGGUCGCAAGACUGAAACUUAAAGGAAUUGGCGGGGGAGCACCACAAGGGGUGAAGCCUGCGGUUCAAUUGGAGUCAACGCCAGGAAACUUACCAGGAGAGACAGCAGAUUGAGGGUCAGACUGAAGAUCUUACCUGACGAGCUGAGAGGAGGUGCAUGGCCGUCGCCAGCUCGUGCCGUGAGGCGUCCUGUUAAGUCAGGCAACGAGCGAGACCCAAAGGGCGA
rnacentral:rRNA from 2 species